AUUGAACGCUGGCGGCAGGCCUAACACAUGCAAGUCGAGCGGUUGACGGGAGCUUGCUCCUUGAUUCAGCGGCGGACGGGUGAGUAAUGCCUAGGAAUCUGCCUGGUAGUGGGGGACAACGUUUCGAAAGGAACGCUAAUACCGCAUACGUCCUACGGGAGAAAGCAGGGGACCUUCGGGCCUUGCGCUAUCAGAUGAGCCUAGGUCGGAUUAGCUAGUUGGUGGGGUAAUGGCUACCCACGGCGACGAUCCGUAACUGGUCUGAGAGGAAGGUCGGUCACCCUGGAACUGAGACACGGUCCAGACUCCUACGGGAGGAAGCAGUGGGGAAUAUUGGACAAAGGGCGAGGGCCUGAUCCAGCCAUGCCGCGUGUGAAGGAGGUCUUCGGAUUGUAAAGCACUUUUAGUUGGGAGGAAGGGCAGUAAGUUAAUACCUUGCUGUUUCGACGUUACCGAGAGAAUAAGCACCGGCUAGCUCUGUGCCAGCCGCCGCAGUAACAC
rnacentral:rRNA from 1 species